GAUGUAUAGCAAUUGCUAGUUGCACUAAAAGUUUUAGUGUAAAAUCAAAUUAGUUGAAUAAAAUUCUGGGUAGAAUUAUGAUAAUGACAUAAUCUGUUCAUAAGUCUUGACCAAAUUACGUGCCAGCAGUCGCGGUAAUACGUAGAAGACAAGUGUUAUUCAUCUUUAAUAGGUUUAAAGGGUACUUAGACGGUAAAUCAAGCCUUAAUAAGGGACUAAUUUGCUAGAGUUUUAUGUGAAAAAGUAUUAAAGUACUGCUGGUGUAGAGAUGAAAUUCUGUCAUACCUUGAAUGGCACAGGUUAAGGCGAAAGCAUCUUUUUAUGUAAAAACUGACGUUGAAGGACGAAGGCUUUGUGUCUCGAACAGGAUUAGAUACCCUAGUAGUCUAAGCAGACAAUGAUGAAUGUCAUAGAUUAGAUAAAAUUUGAUCUAUAAAUGAAAGUGUAAGCAUUCCACCUCAAGAGUAAUUUGGCAACAUUGGAACUGAAAUCAUUAGACCGUUUCUGAAACCAGUAGUGAAGUAUGUUGUUUAAUUUGAUAAUCCGCAAAAAACCUUACCACUUUAAUAUGAAUAGAUAUAUUUUAUCAUACAAGCGUUGCACGGCUGUCUUCAGUUAAUGUCGUGAGACUUUGGUUAGUUCCAUAAAAUUAACGUAAACCCUUACUUUAUUUACUUAUAAAGUAGUUCACCGCUAUAUUGGACGUGAUAACAGGGAUCAAGACAAGUCAUCAUGACCUAAAUAUUGUGGGCUAUAGACG
rnacentral:rRNA from 1 species